AACGAACGCUGGCGGCAUGCCUAACACAUGCAAGUCGAACGAAGCCUUCGGGCUUAGUGGCGCACGGGUGCGUAACGCGUGGGAAUCUGCCCUUGGGUUCGGAAUAACAGUUAGAAAUGACUGCUAAUACCGGAUGAUGUCUUCGGACCAAAGAUUUAUCGCCCAAGGAUGAGCCCGCGUAGGAUUAGGUAGUUGGUGGGGUAAUGGCCCACCAAGCCGACGAUCCUUAGCUGGUCUGAGAGGAUGAUCAGCCACACUGGGACUGAGACACGGCCCAGACUCCUACGGGAGGCAGCAGUGGGGAAUAUUGGACAAUGGGCGAAAGCCUGAUCCAGCAAUGCCGCGUGAGUGAUGAAGGCCUUAGGGUUGUAAAGCUCUUUUACCAGGGAUGAUAAUGACAGUACCUGGAGAAUAAGCACCGGCUAACUACGUGCCAGCAGCCGCGGUAA
rnacentral:rRNA from 1 species